UUCUUCUUCUUCUUCUUCUUCUUCUUCUCUUUUCUUCACUCGAAUUCCUUUUAUUUACUCAUAGUUCCUAUUAUUAUUAUUAUUGUUAAUCCAGGUUUGAUUGUGCUGUAGUAUUGAUCGAUCGGCGAUUGAGGAAGAGGGUACUAAGAUCCCUCCCUAAUGGUUUGAUUGAGGAGGAGGGUCUUCUUUUGGAAUUACUCCUGACCAGCAAGCUUUGUCAAAGGAUGGAUCACAACUAGCAGCAAUAUGAAGGGACGGCCUCAAGGAUUGUCAAAUUUGCUGUAGACUAGCCGACAAAGGCAUCAGUGCGAGACCUUUUGUGGUUUCUGGAGUUGAAAAACCAACCACCAUCAAUACGGAGGGACGGCCUCAAGGAUUGUCAUGUUUGCUCAAGACUACCAGAGAAAGGCAUCAGUGGAGAUGGUGAUGACUUGCUAAACCGCCAGACCAUCUAUGA